GACGAACGCUGGCGGCGUGCUUAACACAUGCAAGUCGAACGGAAAGGCCCUGCUUUUGUGUGGUUCUCGAGUGGCGAACGGGUGAGUAACAAGUGAGUAACCUGCCCUUGACUUUGGGAUAACUUCAGGAAACUGGGGCUAAUACCGGAUAGGAGCUCCUGCUGCAUGGUGGGGGUUGGAAAGUUUCGGCGGUUGGGGAUGGACUCGCGGCUUAUCAGCUUGUUGGUGGGGUAGUGGCUUACCAAGGCUUUGACGGGUAGCCGGCCUGAGAGGGUGACCGGCCACAUUGGGACUGAGAUACGGACCAGACUCCUACGGGAGGCAGCAGUGGGGAAUAUUGCACAAUGGGCGGAAGCCUGAUGCAGCAACGCCGCGUGCGGGAUGACGGCCUUCGGGUUGUAAACCGCUUUCGCCUGUGACGAAGCGUGAGUGACGGUAAUGGGUAAAGAAGCACCGGCUAACUACGUG
rnacentral:rRNA from 1 species